GACCAGGGAGGGUUCACACGAAAACAAACCACCAGAAUAAAAUGGAUUCUGCCUAGUACCUGAAUGGUCCUAAAGAAGGCCGCAUUACAGUAAACCAGGAGAGACAAACAGACUCAAAUACCUGUAUGCUUGACUCCAGCUAUGACUUUUGAAACAAAGCAAGAAGGAGGAGAUGCAAGACCUUCAUUACUUUGAGCCUUAUCAUUUACCCUAAGACUCUGAGACCAGGCCACAUAAAGUCUCCUGGUUCUCCUAGGAUCUGGGCACAGUUCUUGAGGCAUACCCUGCUCCAUCUCCCCCUUGACUGGCUAAAGAUUAAUGCCGUCUUUCUAUUUCCUCCA